GUGAAAUCCAGCAAUUUUUCUUCGCAUUAAGCUCAUGUGAGUUUCAAAUUGGACUUGGAAUUAAAAAGGGUUAUUGAAUGACAUAACAGAUCAAAACAAAUUCAAAUUGCGUAAACAUGUAAGCACACUUAGUGUCGGUCUGCAUAAGAAAAAAUAUCCAUAUCCUUUUACUAGUAACCUACCCACUUAUCACAAGAUAGCAAAUGCCAAAUUACUGCUGUGCACAUUGGACUCUCUGUGCACCACCAGGCAUAUCAUCAUCUUCGUCAUAUGCCUCUUGG
rnacentral:misc_RNA from 1 species